GCUGGCCCCUGACAGCCCCCUCCCCCUGGCGGACGACGACGGCGACGAGGGCGCCGGUCAUGGCGGAGCAGCGAACCGAGCGCGGGCCCUGAGCUCCACCGCAUGGAGCGGGACGAACGGCCGCCUAGCGGAGGGGGAGGCGGCGGGGGCUCGGCGGGGUUCCUGGAGCCGCCCGCCGCGCUCCCUCCGCCGCCGCGCAACGGCUUUUGUCAGGACGAAUUGGCAGAGCUCGACUCAAGCACUAUUUCUGUUCCAGAUGAUCGCGCUGAACAACGAACCUGUCUCAUUUGUGGGGACCGCGCCACAGGCUUACACUAUGGAAUCAUCUCCUGUGAGGGCUGCAAAGGGUUUUUCAAGCGGAGCAUUUGCAACAAGCGGGUCUAUCGGUGCAGUCGUGACAAGAACUGUGUCAUGUCUCGGAAGCAGAGGAACAGGUGCCAGUACUGCCGCCUGCUCAAAUGCCUCCAGAUGGGGAUGAACCGGAAGGCAAUCAGAGAAGAUGGCAUGCCUGGAGGCCGGAAUAAGAGCAUUGGGCCAGUCCAGAUAUCAGAGGAAGAGAUCGAAAGGAUUAUGUCUGGGCAAGAAUUUGAGGAAGAGGCCAAUCAUUGGAGCAACCAUGGUGACAGCGACCACAGUUCCCCUGGGAACAGGGCUUCAGAGAGCAACCAGCCCUCACCCGGCUCUACACUCUCCUCCAGCAGGUCUGUGGAAUUAAAUGGAUUCGUGGCAUUCAGGGAUCAGUACAUGGGGAUGUCUGUGCCUCCACACUAUCAAUAUAUACCGCACCUUUUUAGCUAUUCUGCCCACUCGCCACUUCUGCCCCCACAAGCUCGAAGCCUGGAUCCCCAGUCAUACAGUCUGAUUCAUCAGCUGGUGUCAGCCGAGGACCUGGAGCCACUGGGCACGCCCAUGUUGAUUGAAGAUGGAUAUGCUGUGACUCAGGCAGAGCUGUUUGCCCUGCUUUGCCGCCUGGCUGACGAGCUGCUUUUUAGGCAGAUUGCCUGGAUCAAGAAACUGCCUUUCUUCUGCGAGCUCUCAAUCAAGGAUUACACGUGCCUCCUGAGCUCUACGUGGCAGGAGUUAAUCCUGCUCUCCUCCCUCACUGUUUACAGCAAGCAGAUCUUCGGGGAGCUGGCUGAUGUCACUGCCAAGUACUCACCCUCAGAUGAAGAACUACACAGAUUUAGUGAUGAAGGGAUGGAGGUGAUUGAGCGGCUCAUCUACCUGUAUCACAAGUUCCAUCAGCUAAAAGUGAGCAAUGAGGAGUAUGCUUGCAUGAAAGCAAUUAACUUCCUAAAUCAAGGCCUGUCGCAUCAUAUGGGUACUGAUCUUGGAAGUCCCGCGCUGCCCUCCUCAUCACCCUGCCCCACUGUAGUGCAGGGCAUGGUUUGGAUUUUUUUCUUCAAACCUAAAUGCCACAGCCUCUAUAACUCAUAGAGGAAGGAAGAGGAUUUGCUUUGUUUAGUCAGUUUUAGUGCAUUUAAACACAGACACCAAGGACAGUACAUGCGUCAUUUAAAAUAUGCACAAGUUUACCAGUGACUGAAGAAGAGCAAAGUGACUGAUGAAACUAUUGGAGAUAAGGAAUCUGUGACAAGCUGGCAGUGGUUCUGACGGGCCCCUCCAGGGCAGAGUGGAGGUGCACAAAAACUAACACCCAUAUCAAGCAUGGCUUUAGUUAAAAGAGUGGUGAUCGUGAUUUACAUGGAGUAUUACCUGUGAAGUGGUGUUAUGUAGCUGCUGGUAACCAGAGUAUGCAAGAGAAUUUGUGUUCCCUUUUUUCCAGAAUAGCAUGUGAGUGAGCUGCUGUCAGAGUGGAACUGGGCUAUUUUGCUGCCUGUGACAUUGAAAGUGCUCUAUUCCUGUAUUCAGUUUCCUAGUCCAGAGACUCUUGAUCCCCUUCUCUUUGCCAGCUCCUCCCUUGGUACUAGCUAAACCUCCUCCUCUUGCUUCCUCACCUCUUAUGUAUCUGUCUGGUGUUCUGUGUGCCUCCCUUAGCCCAGGCCCUGUGUCGAACAUUAAAGACAUUGCAAUAAAUUAGAUCCCAGGCUCCUGGCCUCAAGAAGUACACAUUCUGAUGGCACUUGAUGCAUUGCUUGAGCCUCAAGUGAGGGGAGAGGGAUUCCCUGGUGGUCCAGUGGUUAAGACUUCGCCUUCCAAUGCAGGGGGUGCAGGUUCGAUCCCUGGUCAAGGAACUAAGAUCCCCUUGUGCCUUCUGGCCAAAAAAUCAAAACGUGAAACAGAAGCAGUAUUGUAACAAAUUCAAUAAAGACUUUAAAAAUAGUCCACGUUUUUAAAAAAUUUUACCCAAAAACACCCUCUACCACUCAAAUGGAAGGAGAUCAAUAACAACUACUUGGAGAAAGAGAAAUCUGAUAGUGGAGCCUCAAAGGCAGAGUAAGAUUUAUAUAGAGAAUAUUUAUUAAUAUAUUCUAUGUAUGCAAAAGGGAUUGUGUGUGUUUAUAUGUAUAUGAAUACACUAUAUAAUAUAUACAUAUACAUGAGAAAGACAUCUACAGGCAUACCUUGGAGAUACUGCUUGUUUGGUUCCAGACCACCACAGUGAAGUGAGUGUUGCAAUAGAGUGAGUCACGCGAAUUUCUUAACUUCCAGUGCCUGUAAAAUUUAUAUUUAUACUAUGCUGUGGUCUAUUAAGUGUGCAGUAGCAUUUUGUCUUAAAAAGCAGAGUAUAUACCUCAAAAAAAAAAAAUGCUUUAUUGCUGAAAAAUGCUAGCCAUCAUCUGAGCCUUCAGUGAGUCAUAAUCUUUUUGCUGGGGACGGUCUUGCCUCAGUGUUGAUGGCUUCUGAUUGACCAGGGUGGUGGUUGCUGAAGAUUGGGGUAGCUGUGGUGAUUUCUUAAAAUAAGAUAGCAGUGAAGUUUUCCACAUGAAUUGACUUUUUCUUUCAUCAGUGUAUUCUGUGUAGCAUGCCAUGCUGUUUGAACAUUUUACCCCCAGUAGCACUUCUUCCAAAAUUGGAAUCAGUACUCUCAAACCCUGCUGCUGCUUUAUCAACUAAGUUUAUGUAAUAUCCUAAAUCCUUUGUUACUGUUUCAACAGUCUCUAUAGCUUCUUCACCAGGAGUAGAUUCCAUUUCAAGGAACCAGUUUCUUCACUCAUCCAUAAGAAGUAACUCAUCUGUUAAAAUUUUUUUCCUGAGAUUGCAUCAAUUCAGUCACAUUUUCAGGCUUUACUUCUCAUACUAGUUCUCUUGCUGUGUCCACCACAUUUGCAGUUACUUUAUCCACUGAAGUCUUGAGUUCCUCAAAGUCAUCCAUGAAGGUUGGAAUCAACUUUUUUCAAAAUCCUGUUAAUGUUGAUAUGUUGACCUCUUUCAGUGACUCAGGAAUGGCCUCUGAAAUGGUGAAUCCUUUCCAGAAGGUUUUUGAUUUAUUUUGCCCAGAUCCUUCAGAGGAAUCACUAUCUGUGGGCAGCUAUAGCCUUAGGAAAUGUAUUUCUUAAGUAGUAAGACAUGAAUGUUGAAAAGACUCCUUGAUUCAUGGGCUAAAGAAUGGAUGUGUUACAGGCAUGAAAACAACAUUAAUCUCAUUGUACAUCUCCAUCAGAACUCUUGAUGCUCUGAUGCUCUGAUGACAGGUGCUUUGUCAGUGAGCAGUAAUAUUUUGAAAGGAAUCUUUUUUUCUGAGGAGUAGUUUUCCACAAUGGACUUGAAAUAUUUAGUAAACCACGUUGUGAACAGAUGUGCUGUCAUCCAGGCUUUGAUGUUCCAUUUAUAGAACACAAGCAGAGUAGAUUUAGUAUAAUUCUUAAGGGCAUUAGAAUUUUUGGAAUGGUAAAUGAGCAUUGUCCUCAACUUAAAGUCAUCAGCUGCAUUAGCCCCUAACAAGAGAGUCAACUUGUCCUUUGAAGCCAGACAUUGACUUCUCUUCUCUAGCUGUGAAAAGUCCUAGAUAGCAUCUUCUUCCAGCAUAAGGCUAUUUUGUCUAUAUUGAAAAUCUUUGUUUAGUGUAGCCAUCUUCUUUAAUUAUCUUAUUAGCUAGAUCAUCUGAAUAACAUGCUGCAGCUUCUAUGUCAGCACUUGCUUCUUCACCUCAUCCUUUUAUGAAGACAGCAUCUUUCCUUAAACCUCAUGAACUGACCUCUGCUAGCUUCAAACUUUUCUUCUGCAGCUUCCUCACCUCUCUUAGCCUUUAUAGGAUUGAAAAGUGUUAGUUAGGACCUUUCUCUGGAUGAGGCUUAGGCCUAAGUGAAUAUUAUGGAUGGUUUGAUCUUCUAUCCAGACCACUCAAACUUCCUCCUUAUCAGCAAUAAGGCUGUCUUACUUUCUUGUUAUUUUUGUGUUCACUGGAGUAGUGCUUUUUAAUUUCCUUCAAGAAAUUUUCUUUUGCAUUUACAACUUUGCUAACUCACAAGAGGCAUAGCUUUCAGCUUGUCUUGACUGUUGACAUGCCUUCUUCACUGAGCUUAAUCAUUUUUAGUUUAUGAUUUAAAGUGAGAGAUAUGUGAGUUUUCCUUUCACUUGAACACUUACAGGCAAUCAUACAGUUAUUAAUUGGCCUAAUUUCACUACUGUUGUUUCUCAGGGAAUUGGGAGGACCAAGGAGAGGGAGAGACACAGGGGAACAGCCAAAGGAACAGUCAGAGCACACAGCAUUUACUGAUAAGUUCACCAUCUUGUAUGAGCACAGUUUGUGGCACCCCAAAACGAUUACCGUGGUAACAUCAAAAAUCACUGAUCAUAGAUUCAUACAACAAAUCUUAUAAGAAUGAAAAUGUUUGAAAUAUUGCGAGAGUUACCUAAUAUGAUAAAGAGACAUGAAAUGAGCAAAUGCUGUUGGGAAAAAUGGCACCAGUAGACUUGCUUGGUACAGAGUUGCCACAAACCUUCAAUUUGUCAAAAAUGCAGUAUUUGUGAAGUGCAGUAAAGCAAAGCACAAUAAAACAAGAUAUGCUUAUAUGAAGAAAAAAAAAACAAAAGCUGGAGGGACCCAGUAGAAUAUCAGUGGCCCAGGUAGAAUAGUCUGAGUAGACGCACACGGGAGACCAUGUGUGAGUAUAUGUACAAGCAUGAGAGCGUCGGUGUCAGUGCAAUUUCCGAACGGGACCAGCAAAGAGCAGAUCUAAAGCUGCUGUGAAGGAUACACGGGGAAGUCAUUCAGUCUCUGUCCAGCACCCACCAGUACCCGUUUCGUGCCACACCCUGUGCUGGGAGCUGAGUGUGAAGCUGAGAGAGAUGACAGCCUAGCCCUCAAGGGGCUCGGUCUCGUGACUGUCCUUGAUAUCAGGGGUCUGACCAGUGCCUCGCAGCUGGAACAGUUGAACAAACGAUAUUGGUACAUUUGCCAGGAUUUCACUGAAUAUAAAUAUACACAUCAGCCGAACCGUUUUCCUGACCUCAUGAUGUGCUUACCUGAG